rnacentral:rRNA from 1 species
AGCAGCCGCGGUAAUUCCAGCUCCAAUAGCGUAUAUUAAAGUUGUUGCAGUUAAAAGCCCGUAGUUGAAUUUCGGGAUUGGCGCAUCGGUCGUGCCUCACGGGGUAUGAACUGGUGCAGUCAAUUUCUCACCUUCUGGAGAACCGCGAUGUCCUUAAUUGGAUGCCGCGGGGAACCAGGACCUUUACUUUGAAAAAUUAGAGUGUUUAAAGCAGGCAUUUUUGCUUGAAUACAUUAGCAUGGAAUAAUAAAUAGGACGGCAUGGUUCUAUUUUGUUGGUUUCUAGGACCACCGUAAUGAUUAAUAGGGAUAGUUGGGGGCAUUAGUAUUCAAUUGACAGAGGUGAAAUUCUUGGAUUUAUUGAAGACUAACUACUGCGAAAGCAUUUGCCAAGGAUGUUUUCAUUAAUCAAGAACGAAAGUUAGGGGAUCGAAGACGAUCAGAUACCGUCGUAGUCUUAACCAUAAACUAUGCCGACUAGGAAUCAGACGAUGUUAAUUUUUAAUGACUCGUUUGGCACC